GUUUUUAUCUGACUUACAUAAAACCUAUUUUUCUUUCUUCGAUCCUUCUCUCCCUCCUCUCGAAACUCAAGCUCAAACUCUCAUUGCGACUCAUUCAAUCGACGAAGAAACACAGAAGAAAAUCACCUGUCAGGAAUUGCUAAAGGAAUUGAUUUUCACGAUUUUAUUGAUCAAUUUGGAGAAGUUACCAUCUAGGUAUUAGCAUUGGAGCUACCAAAACAUGGGGGUUAAAGAUCCGCUGUCAAUGAAACCUGAAAAAGAGAUUGACUUCCUUUGUGUUUGAUGUAUCAAUUCCCAGGAUGUGGGCACAAAACAGCAACAUCAAAAGCAAAGGGAGAACAUUGAAACUUCGGGCAGUAAAUUCAAAUGCUGAGAGAUUGAAACCCACAAAUCCUGAUCAGUAAACUUAAAAGUGUCCGGAGGCGAUUGAGAUAUGGGCAUAAAGAAGGAAAACACCAUUUACUGGCGUACAACUUCUUUUUUUUUUUUUGGUUCUGAAUUUUUGGAGCAAAAAGAUGCAGGCUUAUGCAGAACUUCUCGAGGAAGGCGAUCCAAAAAUUCCAGCAUGGUUCUUCAGUCCCAAGGAUGGUUUGAAUGUGGGAUUAAAUUCACCACUCCUCUGUUUAUUUAAGGACUGCUUAUGUUCAUUCAGAAGGUAUCACCACCCUUAAAGGUUUCUCACUGAAGUUAGCGUUGGAAGUGGUUCACUUGAUGCUGCAUUCUGUGACAAUCUGCGAGAUCAGUCUUCAAUAUUAGAAGGGUUACAUGUGUAAAAGCUUAAUCAUUUGAGUGUUGGUCAAUAACACAAAAUGAGCAGUUGCUUGCUACUGGAAGCUCAGAGGGAACCUUGGUUAGAAGUUUUAAAAUUUGUUGCAAGAGGUUCACGGCACAAUUUGAAAGAAGAACUAAAGUGUUGCUAUCAACAAGUUCAGGUUCAAAAACUCUUUCACUAGGAUAAUCCUCUCAGCGUCAAGAUCACAUCCGUUGUUGUUGUAGGAGAAACCUGACAUCUAAGCUUUUUGGCGAAGUUCUUAGUUUCAGACCUUAUCCAGAUAUACUGUUAGUCAGUGAUUCAAAUUGGGCCAAUUAUAAGAUUCACUAUGAGCUGAUCCAGAGUACGUAGGGAUUUCUUUAAUAGUUUCUGCCUAGAUGAGUGCCUCAACAUGAUUCUGUUGAACCAACUAUAAGAUCCUUGCAUAUAUAUCUAAGAUUAACUUGCUUAUCAUAGAAUCCGAGAAUCUCGAAGUCCACUGUUUCGUCUUUUCUUUCAUUUGAAACCUGCAAAAGCAAUUGUAGAUGCGAUUCAGGAAUCUCUAAGUUCAUCGUUGCUUUCAGUUGGAACCUGCAAAAGCAAUUGAGAAUGAGAACUAUGCUUUAGCAGCUGGAAUUCAAGAUCAAAAUUCGAAGUUAGAGAGUGGUGGAGCGAGAUGACUUACUAGGUUACCGGAGAACAGCUUGGAGCGCUCUUCGUAGAUAGUCCAUAUCUGGUGAAUGAUCUUUGUAGGAACCUCUUUGAUGUCAUAUGAAGCUUUUUCAACAAUUUUUGUCAUAGUUUCGAGGGCUUGGGACGAACAAUAUACAAUAGUAAAACAGUUUGAUAUUCUAAUUACUUAGUUCACUUUGGAGCCACUGGGUAGAACAUCUUUAAGGGUGCAGACAAGUUCCUUUGGAAAUGCAAAGGACUCUGAGAAACCCUAUCAGAGGCACGUGGAAUAGGCCUUUGACGGGCUUGGAAUUUUACUUCUUUUGACCUCCAAUCAGCAGCUAUUCAGGUGGAUGUUCAUGUCUCUAAGUGUGGUUGUUAAUAAGUGGAAGGAUGAGAACGAUAAAUUCAUGACUUUUAGGCAGUGGCUUGAUUUCUGCAGGGUAGAGAAUUCCACAAGUGAAGGAUAUCCUGGGACUUGGGAGCAUAACCGGUCAAGAUUUUUUCCAUUCCUCCAUUUUUUUAUAGAGUCAAGACUCGGUUCUCUAAUUGAGCUGGAAAGGAAUCAAGCUGAGGUUAUGUUUACAAUUUCCAUCACAUCUCUCCUGCUUAUGGAUUGUUUGAUUAUAAUUCACAUCAAUAGUUGAGAAACCAGUGGCAUCAGGAAGUUCUGCUGAAGCUAUGUCGUAAUAUGGUAUUUUUUAGAAAAAUUUGCUGAACUCAGAAAGAAUUAAUACAUUGUGCCGAGGAAACCAUCCUCAACACUCAACUACAUGAUAUUGGGUCGCAGGUAACACAAAGUUAAAUUUACAUUUGGAAUUUGGUGUAUUAAAUUUCCACUCGCUUUAACAAUUCCUUUCUUUUUCUUUGAGAGGGACAUGUACAUUCAGCUCUCGGAAGUAGCAAUUGCUUGGUCCUAGGAGAGGUUGGGAACACUUUGUAGAUUUGGUGUGGAUGCAAAUGGUAGAAAGUUUGGACUAAGAUCCGAAUAAUGUCUUGCUCUAUAAAUAUGCUAUUGUUAAAAUGUGUUUUCUUUUAGGAAGAAAAUCUAUUUAAUUAUGAGUCAUUUAUAAGGAAAAA